AUUGAACGCUGGCGGCAGGCUUAACACAUGCAAGUCGAGCGGGGAUAGGGUGCUUGCACCUGAUUCCUAGCGGCGGACGGGUGAGUAAUGCUUAGGAAUCUGCCUAUUAGUGGGGGACAACGUUCCGAAAGGGAUGCUAAUACCGCAUACGUCCUACGGGAGAAAGCAGGGGAUCUUCGGACCUUGCGCUAAUAGAUGAGCCUAAGUCGGAUUAGCUAGUUGGUGGGGUAAAGGCCUACCAAGGCGACGAUCUGUAGCGGGUCUGAGAGGAUGAUCCGCCACACUGGGACUGAGACACGGCCCAGACUCCUACGGGAGGCAGCAGUGGGGAAUAUUGGACAAUGGGGGAACCCUGAUCCAGCCAUGCCGCGUGUGUGAAGAAGGCCUUUUGGUUGUAGAGCACUUUAAGCGAGGAGGAGGCUUACCUGGUUAAUACCUGGGAUAAGUGGACGUUACUCGCAGAAUAAGCACCGGCUAACUCUGUGCCAGCAGCCGAC
rnacentral:rRNA from 1 species